GAUAACGCUGGCGGCGCACAUAAGACAUGCAAGUCGAACGGACUUAACCAUUAGUUUACUAUUGGAGCGGUUAGUGGCGGACUGGUGAGUAACGCGUAAGCAAUCUGCCUAUCAGAGGGGAAUAACAGUGAGAAAUCACUGCUAAUACCGCAUAAGCUGUGAGUAUCGCAUGAUACAAAUAGAAAAGGAGCAAUCCGCUGAUAGAUGAGCUUGCGUCUGAUUAGUUAGUUGGUGAGGUAACGGCCCACCAAGACGAUGAUCAGUAGCCGGACUGAGAGGUUGAACGGCCACAUUGGGACUGAGAUACGGCCCAG
rnacentral:rRNA from 1 species